CUUUAAGAGAGCCAAUUCUGGAAAACAACCAAACUUUGAAUACUCACAUGCAUUGGAACGUGAUUAGGAGGUUAAGGUUUAAUAAUAAAAUGAAGACCAUAACAAAACAGGCUCCUUAGCCCAGCAAUUCUUAUUUUUAGCCUUUGUGAGGAGCUUUACAUUUGGCUAUUAAAACUUCAGGAUGGGGCCGAGGAUUUAGCUCAGUGGUUCCACCGCCUGCCUUGCAAGCGCAAGGACCUGAGUUCAU